UGCCAGCAGCCGCGGUAAUACGGAGGGUACAAACGUUGUUCGGAAUUACUGGGCAUAAAGCGCACGCAGGCGGUGUGGUCAGUCAGAUGUGAAAGCCCGGGGCUCAACCCCGGAAGAGCAUUUGAAACAGCCACACUUGAGUACUGGAGAGGAAAGGGGAAUUCCUGGUGUAGAGGUGAAAUUCGUAGAUAUCAGGAGGAACACCGGUGGCGAAGGCGCCUUUCUGGACAGAUACUGACGCUGAGGUGCGAAGGUGUGGGUAGCGAACAGGAUUAGACU
rnacentral:rRNA from 1 species